UUUAAAGCAGGGCUGUCCAACUCGCGGCCCUCUAGAUGUUGCUGAACUACAACUCCCAUGUUAUCUGUUUUAUUGAAAGAAUCAUGGGAGUUGUAGUUCAGCAACACCUGGGAGGGCCGCAGGUUGGACAGGCCUGGUUUAAA